rnacentral:lncRNA from 1 species
UGCCUUACUUCAGCACAGAGAAAUCGUCUCAGAGUUGCCAUUGAUAUAACCAGUGCCUUGUUAACAGAUGUGACCUGAUCUUUGCAGGGCCUGUCUCAGAUACUUACCUGUAUAUACCUGUGGGAGGAAGAAGAAAAAGGCAACUUUCAGCUUGAAGGCCAAGGUGUUACUACUUAGAAUUUAGGGCACAGAAGGCUGGUGUGUGUCGGCAGUGAUAUUUGGGAGAAUGAGUCUGUUUGGGAGACACUUUAGGUCAUACCAGCAGCAGCUGCUGACAUAUGAACCUCGCAGAUGAAGAUGCCAUAGCAUGGCUAUUUCUCGACUGCACUGCUGAAGUUUAAGAACAUCAACCAGACUGCUGUGUUGAGAAGAAUACAGACACUGCAUUCAGAUUCAGUGAGAAAGAGUGCUUUGAUCAACUAAUAUUUUCUGCAGUGGUCCAUCCAUGUGUGUUGGGUUUUACUGUUCCUGGCUUAAGCAUUCUCUACAACCAUGAGCUUGCAACUAAAAUGCUGAGAAAUGUAUGGCUACCAUAAAGCCAGUUUAAAUCUAUAUGCCAAAAGGCCUUAUUUAAA